AUGUCACCCUACACCAUCGUCUACUUCACCACCCGAGGGCGCUGCAAGGCCAUGCGCAUGCUGCUGGCUGACCAGGGCCAGAGCUGGAAGGAGGAGGUGGUGACCAAGGAGAGCUGACUGCAGGGCCCGCUCAAGACCUCCUGUCUGCGUGGGCAUCUCCCCAAGUUCCAGGAUGGAGACCUCACCAUGUACCAGUCCAAUGCCAUCCUGCGACACCUGGGCUGUACCUUUGGGCUCUAUGGCAAAGACCAGUGGGAGGCGGUGCUGGUGGACAUGGUGAAAGAUGGCAUGGAGGAUGUCCACAGGCACUGCAGCCAGCUCAUUUACCGGACCAAUGAGGAGGGUAAGGCCAAGUAUUUUCAGGAGAUGCCAGGGCACCUGAAGUCUUUUGAGACCCUGCUGAUCCAGAACAAGGAGGGCAAGGCCUUCCUUGUGGGCGACCAGAUCUCCUUCACCAACUACAACCUGUUGGGCCUGUUGCUGAAUCACCAGGUCCUGGCCCCUGGUUGCUUGGACUCCCACCCCCUGCUCUUGGCCUAUGUGGCAUGCCUCAGCAACGGGCCCAAGCUCAAGGCCUACCUGGCCUUCCCCAGCAUGUGAACCGCCCUGUCCAUGAAACCCAAAAGAUAUGAGCCCCUUCAGCCUCCCCUGGGAGAAAGGCUGCCCUUUAGAACCAAUAAACACCUAGAGAGGAAAA